rnacentral:rRNA from 1 species
UACGGAGGAUGCAAGCGUUAUCCGGAAUGAUUGGGCGUAAAGCGUCCGCAGGUGGCUGUGUAAGUCUGCUGUUAAAGAGUCUAGCUCAACUAGAUACAAGCAGUGGAAACUACACGGCUAGAGUACGUUCGGGGCAGAGGGAAUUCCUGGUGUAGCGGUGAAAUGCGUAGAGAUCAGGAAGAACACCGGUGGCGAAGGCGCUCUGCUAGGCCGUAACUGACACUGAGGGACGAAAGCUAGGGGAGCAAACAGG